GCUCAAAAUGUACGGUAUUUUCGGUUUGGUACGAUAAACUUACAGUAUUUUGAACAGAAAAAGCCACGAUUUUGUUUUAUUUUUUGGUCAACAGUACUUAUUAAUACAGUUAUUAAUACACUAAAUGUAAUUAAUUUCAUUACGAGAACCAUAUCUGAAUGCGAAGCAGUACUACACGUGGCUGGGAACUGAAUUUCGAUAUGGUGAACAGAAUGACCAGAACCCAGCUUUAUAAGAAUAAGAAAUUUACAUCUGCUCCUGUUACUUCAUCUCAAGAUGUAGAUAGAUGAUCACGAGUCCUUAGAUGAGGAUGACGACAUUAGUUUCGAUGAUUAAAUGUGUCUCUUUAGUAAUAAUUGUUUAACCGAUUUAUAAUUUUUUAUAAUAAAUUUUUCUAUUUAUAUACACAGUA
rnacentral:lncRNA from 1 species